AUGGACGGCAUGGAGUUCUUCUUCGAGGAUUCUGGAGCUGGGCUCGUGCCGCGCUUGGACGGCGGUGACUUCCUACGAGAUUUAGUUGCCGGCGUGGACCUGCCUGGUGGCGGCACCAGUGGGAGUGCUGACGCUGACAAGGUCUUGACUUCUUCUCUGCCGAUGGGGCUAGUUGGAGGACUGAAGGAUUACAAAGGGCGCGAGGAUACAGGUGAAACAAUGCUCACUGGGAGGGGGCGCGGCUCGUCUGAUCUUAGCGGCGAAGGUGUGGGCGACUCCUGCGAGAUAGGCGAUACAGAAGUUGCAUCUGGCGCCAAGGAUAACGAUACAGUCGAAGAGGGCGUCGCAGUGUCAAACGCAAAUCAGUCUUGUUGGACCAAGAGGGUUAGAGUUGGGAAAGCGGCUGAUGUGAGGGAGCCCAGCUCUUCGAGGAUGACUGCCCUUGAAGCUUCUGUCCGUGCAUUUGUCGAUAAAAAAAUCUAG
rnacentral:rRNA from 1 species